GAUGAACGCUGGCGGCGUGCCUAAUACAUGCAAGUCGAGCGAACAGAUGAGGAGCUUGCUCCUCUGACGUUAGCGGCGGACGGGUGAGUAACACGUGGAUAACCUACCUAUAAGACUGGGAUAACUUCGGGAAACCGGAGCUAAUACCGGAUAAUAUAUUGAACCGCAUGGUUCAAUAGUGAAAGACGGUUUUGCUGUCACUUAUAGAUGGAUCCGCGCCGCAUUAGCUAGUUGGUAAGGUAACGGCUUACCAAGGCAACGAUGCGUAGCCGACCUGAGAGGGUGAUCGGCCACACUGGAACUGAGACACGGUCCAGACUCCUACGGGAGGCAGCAAUAGGGAAUCUUCCGCAAUGGGCGAAAGCCCGACGAAGCAACGCCGCGUGAGUGAUGAAGGUCUUCGGAUCGUAAAACUCUGUUAUUAGGGAAGAACAAAUGUGUAAGUAACUAUGCACGUCUUGACGGUACCUAAUCAGAAAGCCACGGCUAACUACGUG
rnacentral:rRNA from 1 species